CGCCGCCGAGGGAAACCACUGACGUAACAGCUCGAGCGCGGAGUGCGCUUCCCAGAGCCCGGCGGGUUCCACACUUUGUAACGUCUCGGGGAGAGCCUGCAACAGUUGCCGGGACCCCGGGUAUCGACGUGGGGAAACUGAGGUGCCCGGCCAGCGCGGCAGUGUCUACCUGAAGGUGGAGCCAGAAUUCAGUUGCAGUCAAGAGUUCUGGAAUGCAAGGGUUUAAGGCUCUUGUUUCUCUCGGGACUCAGAGGCAUCAAUAAAACCCAGAAGAGCUAGAAGAUUGGAGAUGCACUCCUGGUCUGUAGGCCUGAAGGGAGAUCUCCUUGUUUGCCUCCGAUCUAGUUACUUUUAUGUCUUGUUUUCUAGCAACACUAUGAAGGGGUUUCCAAGGAAAUUGACAGCAUACGUAUUUCUUCUUAUCCUCCUAUUUUUUGAGUGAUCGCCAAACAACUCUUCCACUUGUUUCUUACAUAUAAGCAAUUCCCUAGGAUAAGUUUGGCAUACUCCAUCCGAACCUACUGAAGAAAAAAAAGAAAGAAAAAGAAAAACAGACAUUGUGAGCAUUUUUCCCAUGACUGAAUUAAAGAGUGUAUUUUAUGCUAGGCUUUAGAUGACAUCUCCAAGUCUAUGUCUGUUCAUAAAUGAUUUGACUUUUAAUGUAUUCAAUGUUAAUGAAGCAAGUGCAGACUGUCUAUAAUGUCUAUAACCAAGACAUUAAAAUUCAUCACCGAUGCCGGGCGGUGGUGGCGCACGCCUUUAAUCCCAACACUCGGGAGACAGAGGCAGGCGGAUCUCUGUGAGUUCAAGGCCAGCCUGGUCUCCAAAACGAGUUCCAGGAAAGGCGCAAAGCUACACAGAGAAACCCUGUCUUGAAAAAAAAAAAAAAUUCAUCACCAAGCAGAAUAUUUUAUUAUGUAUUUUAUUAUGUUCAGGCUCAGAAGACACUACUUUAAACUGUGACACUUGGUGCCGCAUUGCUCAGUGCCUUGAAGGAAGGAAACUGCAAAGGCCUCAGAAGCCAGGUAUCUCUGAGCUGCGGUCCUUCCUGCAGGCCUGGUUUGCCCUCCAAAGCAAAGCCAACUCCAAGAAACCAAAAUUCCUCUUCUGCAAGUUCCCAAGGGACUGAAUUUGGCCAACAACCACAUGAACUUGUAAGAGGAAUCCAAGCCUCAGGUGAGACUGCAGCGCCCAGACAGCCCCUCAAUUUCUGCCUAGAAACACCACAAAGAGAAGAUCCUGCUAACACCACACACCUGAAUGGAUGGAAAUGGAAAUAAAUGAACUUGUGUCAGAA